AGUGGCGAACGGGUGAGUAAUACAUCGGAACGUGCCCGAUCGUGGGGGAUAACGGAGCGAAAGCUUUGCUAAUACCGCAUACGAUCUACGGAUGAAAGCAGGGGACCGCAAGGCCUUGCGCGGACGGAGCGGCCGAUGGCAGAUUAGGUAGUUGGUGGGAUAAAAGCUUACCAAGCCGACGAUCUGUAGCUGGUCUGAGAGGACGACCAGCCACACUGGGACUGAGACACGGCCCAGACUCCUACGGGAGGCAGCAGUGGGGAAUUUUGGACAAUGGGCGAAAGCCUGAUCCAGCCAUGCCGCGUGCAGGAUGAAGGCCUUCGGGUUGUAAACUGCUUUUGUACGGAACGAAAAGACUCCUUCUAAUAAAGGGGGUCCAUGACGGUACCGUAAGAAUAAGCACCGGCUAACUACGUGCCAGCAGCCGCGGUAAUACGUAGGGUGCAAGCGUUAAUCGGAAUUACUGGGCGUAAAGCGUGCGCAGGCGGUUAUAUAAGACAGAUGUGAAAUCCCCGGGCUCAACCUGGGAACUGCAUUUGUGACUGUAUAGCUAGAGUACGGU
rnacentral:rRNA from 1 species